rnacentral:rRNA from 1 species
AUACGGAGGGUGCGAGCGUUAAUCGGAAUUACUGGGCGUAAAGCGUACGUAGGCGGUUGGUUAAGUUAGAUGUGAAAGCCCCGGGCUUAACCUGGGAACUGCAUUGAAAACUGGCGAACUAGAGUUGAGUAGAGGGGAGUGGAAUUUCAGGUGUAGCUGUGAACUGCGUAGAGAUCUGAAGGAACACCAGUGGCGAAGGCGACUCCCUGGACUCGAACUGACGCUGAGGUACGAAAGCGUGGGUAGCAAACGGGAUUAGAAACCCCUGUAGUCC